rnacentral:rRNA from 1 species
GAAGCUUGCUUCCUAUGGAAUCGAGUGGCAAACGGGUGAGUAACGCGUAAACAACCUGCCCUUCGGAUGGGGAUAACAGCCGGAAACGGCUGCUAAUACCGAAUACGAUCUUUUCGUCGCAUGACGAAAAGAAGAAAGGAUGGCCUCUAUACAAAGCUAUCGCCGAAGGAGGGGUUUGCGUCUGAUUAGCUGGUUGGAGGGGUAACGGCCCAACAAGGCGAUGAUCAGUAGCCGGUCUGAGAGGAUGAACGGCCACAUUGGGACUGAGACACGGCCCAGACUCCUACGGGAGGCAGCAGUGGGGAAUCUUCCGCAAUGGACGAAAGUCUGACGGAGCAACGCCGCGUGAGUGAAGAAGGUCUUCGGAUUGUAAAGCUCUGUUAUACGGGACGAAAAAGACGGAUGCCAACAGUAUCCGUCCGUGACGGUACCGUAAGAGAAAGCCACGGCUAACUACGUGCCAGCAGCCGCGGUAAUACGUAGGUGGCAAGCGUUGUCCGGAAUUAUUGGGCGUAAAGGGCGCGCAGGCGGUUCGGUAAGUCUGUCUUAAAAGUGCGGGGCUUAACCCCGUGAGGGGACGGAAACUGUCGAACUUGAGUGUCGGAGAGGAAAGCGGAAUUCCUAGUGUAGCGGUGAAAUGCGUAGAUAUUAGGAGGAACACCGGUGGCGAAAGCGGCUUUCUGGAC